rnacentral:piRNA from 1 species
UGGAAUAUUCAAAGCCUGGGGUGGAU